rnacentral:piRNA from 1 species
UGAGAAGGAUUGUUUUUGCUGGUGUU